AUAUUAUCGAUUUUUUUUAUUGAGUUAUUUAAAAAUUAUUUAUAAGAUAUGAAGGUUGAAUUUGGUAAAUUCCAAAGCCUUGAACUGAUCUAAUGGCUUUUAACUUGAAUUAAAAUUAUGAUGAGAAAUUGCACCAGAAAUACUCACAAUUGAGAAAUAGACUACAUAGCAAAUGAAAAACAUGCUUGUUAAAACAUUUUUUUGAUAAUAUUAGAAGUUUAAUAUGUUUUAAUAAUCAAUAACAAUAUAUGAUUUCAACAAUUUUAAAUAUUGAUAAAAUAAUUUUGUUUUUUUGUGAAUUUUGUUUCAUAAUCUUUUUUGUUUCAGAAAUAUAAACAAUGAAUAAUUGAUGUAUGUUACUCGGUCAAGUUUCCUGACUUAGACUCUUUUAUGAAAGGCCAUCGGUAUCUGUGUUCUUUACGCGGUUGGCGCUUACGUCAAGGGCGACCUCGACUUUCCACCGUCUCUAAUCUGUACGAGAAUCAUUUGCGAGACAAGCAUUUCAUUUCCACACCGUUACCAUCAGCUUGUCUCCCUCUUUUCGUCUCGGCUUCCUAGCCACUAUGCUGAUGACCUUCAACCGUUCAAGAGGGGAUGGACCUCGUUGGCUAGCGGGCCGAGGUAUAAGGUCAAGGUUGCUGUAGUCGGUGUGCACGGGAUAUGCGACCUCCAAAUGCAUCGAGCGAGAUGCGUGCGCAAUUGACGCAUGCGCACCAUGAGCCGGCUUGUCGUGCGUCGCAGCGUGUCGCGCAAGUCAUUGCCAAGGUCUUCUCUGGUCACGGGCAAACCGUUAUAAGUAGCGAUGGGCACGAACUGAAAUGUAAUUUUUAGACUGUAUUAUUAAAGAUCUAUGUAUAUCAUUAGAUGCUUUUAGGAUGUUAUUAAUUUAAAUAUUGACGAUUUUAAAAAAUUAUGAAUCUGCAUUGAAUAAUUUACAUCCUACAUGAUGUUGAAAUCUUCUAUGAAUGAAAUUAUUAAAAGAACAUAGAAGAAAGGGAAUACGUGAUAAUAGGAAGAAUAUUUGAAAAAUUAACGUUAACCGUUGAGAGUGGCCAUCUUGAAAUUUGUAUUGCAUUUGUAUUUCUUUAACACGUUAUAUAUUCAAUUUGUUUCGAUUUGAUAUUAGAUUAUGAGAAUUUCGGUUCCAUCGCUAGUCAUAAGUUGCCGGUUGAGACUGAUGCAAGGUCGUCGACGAUUGUUUCAGG